AAAGUGCGGGACGUGUCCCGUUUUGUAUGUACCUUAUGAAUAAGGAUCGGCUAACUCCGUGCCAGCAGCCGCGGUAAUACGGAGGAUCCGAGCGUUAUCCGGAUUUAUUGGGUUUAAAGGGUGCGUAGGCGGCCUUUUAAGUCAGCGGUGAAAGUCUGUGGCUCAACCAUAGAAUUGCCGUUGAAACUGGGAGGCUUGAGUAUGUUUGAGGCAGGCGGAAUGCGUGGUGUAGCGGUGAAAUGCUUAGAUAUCACGCAGAACCCCGAUUGCGAAGGCAGCCUGCCAAGCCAUGACUGACGCUGAUGCACGAAAGCGUGGGGAUCAAACAGGAUUAGAUACCCUGGUAGUCCACGCAGUAAACGAUGAUCACUAGCUGUUUGCGAUACACGGUAAGCGGCACAGCGAAAGCGUUAAGUGAUCCACCUGGGGAGUACGCCGGCAACGGUGAAACUCAAAGGAAUUGACGGGGGCCCGCACAAGCGGAGGAACAUGUGGUUUAAUUCGAUGAUACGCGAGGAACCUUACCCGGGUUUGAACGCAUUCGGACCGAGGUGGAAACACCUUUUCUAGCAAUAGCCGUUUGCGAGGUGCUGCAUGGUUGUCGUCAGCUCGUGCCGUGAGGUGUCGGCUUAAGUGCCAUAACGAGCGCAACCCUUGCCACUAGUUACUAACAGGUGAUGCUGAGGACUCUGGUGGGACUGCCAGCGUAAGCUGCGAGGAAGGCGGGGAUGACGUCAAAUCAGCACGGCCCUUACAUCCGGGGCGACACACGUGUUACAAUGGCGUGGACAAAGGGAAGCCACCUGGCGACAGGGAGCGAAUCCCCAAACCACGUCUCAGUUCGGAUCGGAGUCUGCAACCCGACUCCGUGAAGCUGGAUUCGCUAGUAAUCGCGCAUCAGCCAUGGCGCGGUGAAUACGUUCCCGGGCCUUGUACACACCGCCCGUCAAGCCAUGGGAGCCGGGGGUACCUGAAGUCCGUAACCGCGAGGAUCGGCCUAGGGUAAAACUGGUGACUGGGGCUAAGUCGUAACAAGGUAGCCGUACCGGAAGGUGCGGCUGGAACACCUCCUUUCU
rnacentral:rRNA from 1 species